CAUUUCUUGCCUGAAGCAAUAUGAUUGCACAACUGGAACAAACUUCUAAAGGCUCAUCCCAGGACAGAGAACAGGAAAUCAGCGAAGAAGUCUCUCUCUACUUGACUUUCUUCCUCCAAAAUUUUCAGAAAUAAAGCAGCACCUCACAAAGAAACAUAAAUAAUCC